UUGGAGCCUGAUUGAGCUUGACAGAGAUACGCUGCAUACUUGGUUGGAUAGCGCCCACGAGUGCCACUCCGGAGUCAGGCUUUGUACUUUCGCGUUGGUGUCGCUCAUGCCAGUUUGACUUGCUCUCCACGGACUAGUUAGUGUGGAUAGAGCCUGAUAGUCGCAACGGGGCAGGGACGGGUGUAUUCACAGUCCCGGGGACGGGUAUACUUACAGUCCCGAUUG
rnacentral:lncRNA from 1 species